rnacentral:rRNA from 1 species
UACGAAGGGGGCUAGCGUUGCUCGGAAUCACUGGGCGUAAAGCGCACGUAGGCGGCUUUCUAAGUCAGGGGUGAAAUCCUGGAGCUCAACUCCAGAACUGCCUUUGAUACUGGGAAGCUCGAGUCCGGAAGAGGAGAGUGGAAUUCCUGGUGUAGCGGUGAAAUGCGCAGAUAUCAGGAAGAACACCCGUGGCGAAGGCGGCUCUCUGGGACGGUACUGACGCUGAGACGCGAAAGCGUGGGGAGCGAACAGG